UUACGGCCAUAUCACUUUGAAACUACCGGUUCUCCGUACGAUCACCAACGUUAAGCAACGUCUAGCCUGGUCAGUAUCAAGAUGAGUGAUCGCUUGGGAGUACCAGGUAG